UACGUAGGGUGCGAGCGUUAAUCGGAAUUACUGGGCGUAAAGCGUGCGUAGGCGGUUCGUUAAGUCAGUUGUGAAAGCCCCGGGCUUAACCUGGGAAUGGCCUUUGUGACUGCACGGCUAGAGUGUGUCAGAGGGGGUAGAAUUCCACGUGUAGCAGUGAAAUGCGUAGAGAUGUGGAGGAAUACCGAUGGCGAAGGCAGCCCCCUGGGAUAACACUGACGCUCAUGCACGAAAGCGUGGGGAGCAAACAGG
rnacentral:rRNA from 1 species